AUUGAACGCUGGCGGCAGGCCUAACACAUGCAAGUCGAGCGAGCGGCGGACGGGUGAGUAAUGUAUGGGGAUCUGCCCGAUAGAGGGGUAUAACUACUGGAAACGGUGGCUAAUACCGCAUACUAUCGGAUGAACCCAUAUGGGAUUAGCUAGUAGGUGGGGUAAAGGCUCACCUAGGCGACGAUCCCUAGCUGGUCUGAGAGGAUGACCAGACACACUGGGACGGAGACACGGACCAGACUCCUACGGGAGGCAGCAGUGGGGAAUAUUGCACAAUGGGCGCAAGCCUGAUGCAGCCAUGCCGCGUGUAUGAAGAAGGCCUUAGGGUUGUAAAGUACUUUCAGCGGGGAGGCGUUACCCGCAGAAGAAGCACCGGCUAACUCCGUGCCAGCAGCCGCGGUAAUAG
rnacentral:rRNA from 1 species